GACGAACGCUGGCGGCGUGCUUAACACAUGCGAGUCGAACGGAAAGGCCCUGCUUUUGUGGGGUGCUCGAGUGGCGAACGGGUGAGUAACACGUGAGUAACCUGCCCUUGACUUUGGGAUAACUUCAGGAAACUGGGGCUAAUACCGGAUAGGAGCUCCUGCUGCAUGGUGGGGGUUGGAAAGUUUCGGCGGUUGGGGAUGGACUCGCGGCUUAUCAGCUUGUUGGUGGGGUAGUGGCUUACCAAGGCUUUGACGGGUAGCCGGCCUGAGAGGGUGACCGGCCACAUUGGGACUGAGAUACGGCCCAGACUCCUACGGGAGGCGGCAGUGGGGAAUAUUGCACAAUGGGCGGAAGCCUGAUGCAGCAACGCCGCGUGCGGGAUGACGGCCUUCGGGUUGUAAACCGCUUUCGCCUGUGACGAAGCGUGAGUGACGGUAAUGGGUAAAGAAGCACCGGCUAACUACGUG
rnacentral:rRNA from 1 species